rnacentral:rRNA from 1 species
AACGAACGCUGGCGGCAUGCCUAACACAUGCAAGUCGAACGAGACCUUCGGGUCUAGUGGCGCACGGGUGCGUAACGCGUGGGAACCUGCCCUUAGGUUCGGAAUAACUCCCCGAAAGGGGUGCUAAUACCGGAUAAUGUCUUCGGACCAAAGAUUUAUCGCCUUUGGAUGGGCCCGCGUUGGAUUAGCUAGUUGGUAGGGUAAAAGCCUACCAAGGCGACGAUCCAUAGCUGGUCUGAGAGGAUGAUCAGCCACACUGGGACUGAGACACGGCCCAGACUCGGACGGGAGGCAGCAGUGGGGAAUAUUGUACAAGGGGCGAAAGCCUGAUCCAGCAAUGCCGCGGGAGUGAUGAAGGCCUUAGGGUUGUAAAGCUCUUUUACCCGGGAUGAUAAUGACAGUACCGGGAGAAUAAGCUCCGGCUAACUCCGUG